AGUGAACGCUGGCGGUAGGCCUAACACAUGCAAGUCGAACGGCAGCACAGUAAGAGCUUGCUCUUACGGGUGGCGAGUGGCGGACGGGUGAGGAAUACAUCGGAAUCUACUUUUUCGUGGGGGAUAACGUAGGGAAACUUACGCUAAUACCGCAUACGACCUACGGGUGAAAGCAGGGGAUCUUCGGACCUUGCGCGAUUGAAUGAGCCGAUGUCGGAUUAGCUGGUUGGCGGGGUAAAGGCCCACCCAGGCGGCGAUCCGUAGCUGGUCUGAGAGGAUGGUCAGCCACACUGGAACUGAGACACGGUCCAGACUCCUACGGGAGGCAGCAGUGGGGAAUAUUGGACAAUGGGCGCAAGCCUGAUCCAGCCAUACCGCGUGGGUGAAGAAGGCCUUCGGGUUGUAAAGCCCUUUUGUUGGGAAAGAAAAGCAGCAGGUUAAUACCCCGCUGUUCUGACGGUACCCAAAGAAUAAGCACCGGCUAACUUCGUG
rnacentral:rRNA from 1 species